CUCCGUUGGUCGAUGUGGGAUGUUACAGGUAGCCUCCUAUUCAAAGGGUUCCAUAUGUAAGAUUAAAAAGUCAAUUGAGUGAAUUAUAAUCAAUCUAAGAAGAUAGUGAUUUUCUCCUGCCUUAAAUCAAGUGUGAGUCUUGGCCGUGUCAAGUAAAUACACGAUUAGCGACAUCGAGUGAAUCGGUUGCCCCUGGUCGAGUGAUUCUAGGUUCUAUCCCCGUAGUGACAUCGAAUGACUCUGUCCCCCUGGUUGAGCGAUUUCCAAGUUAUCUUCCCCGUCUCUUCGAGACCCUUGGUUCUUUCUCCUGCGUCAAUCAAUAGUUAUUAGUUGCGUGUUAUAGUUUAUACAAAGUGAACUUUCUAAUUAUAUUUUCUUUUUAACAAGCGAUAUUAUCUAGAUUAAAGGGAAUCCGACUUAACCUCAUAAUGGGCUAGCAAUAAUGUUGUUCAAAUUUACCUUUGGCGAGAAUCAAACCUAAAACCUCUCACUUACAAAUGAUGAGGAAUACCACCAGCCUGUAGUACUAAGUGGCAUCUGAUGAUAUUUACUGGGUAUCAAUAGAAUGAGCGAACAAUUGAGCAUUUCUUCAUACCACAUAUUCUUAUUCUUUGCUUUAUUUUCUUUCUGCCUUCUCUAUUUCUCUAUACGGAUAUAUGAGGGUGUUGGAUUAGUUUUCAAACAUAUUUUGGUGCGUAAAUUCUGGAAUUUUUUUAAGGAAUUGAUUUUUUUUUUCACACCCCAGUUUGUUUUUAAAGUAAUGCGAUGGAGACUAAAUUUGGAGGGGUAAUGCUAGGGAGACUAAAUUUGAAGACAAAGUUUUGAAAACUAAAUGACAUGAAAGUUGAUGAUUGGUUUAUUCCUUAAAUAUUGAUAAAUGUGCUUAUUUCUAUUGGUAACACAUGCAAAUUUAGUCUCUCUAGCAUUACUCAAUUUGGAGACUAAAUUUGCAAACUAAAUGAUAUGUCACCAAUAGGAAUAAACACGUUUAUCAGCGUUUAAGCAAUCGACCAAUCAUCAACUUCCAUGUCCUUUAGUUUUCAAAACUUUGUCUCAAAAUUUAGUCUCACUAGCAUUACCCUUGUUUUUAUCAUAAAUGUAAAUGUACAUAGGUGUGCAUGGAAAGAAAGAGAAAUGUAUGUAAAUUAUUUUUCUUUAUUUAUUAUCUUAGCCAAGGGAUUUUUUAUUUUAUUUUUUUUGGUGUCAAAAGAUAGAAUUUUAUUGAAUUAAAUACGAGCAGCUACAUUUGCAUCUUCUGCUAAAAUAUUAAAAAGAAACUCUGGACCCAACUCAUCCCAGUCAAAUUUUUCGCCAUGCUUAACAACGUACGCCGCCACCGAAUAGGCUGCACGAUUGCAUUCCCGAAAGGUAAAGCAAAAUUUUACAAACUGGAAUAAGCUCGCCAUCCUCCAAAUAUCUUGGAGAUAAAUUUCUAGAGUCACAUCAGUCGUCAUCUCCUUGUUCAACAUCUGAAUCAGUCCAUUCGAAUCUGAUUCCACCACCAAUUUAAUACCAUCCUCUAUAACCUACCU
rnacentral:lncRNA from 1 species